ACUGCGAUCGAAAAUGAGGACUUCGACCGUUCUUAUUCUGGGUCUUCUCGUCCUGGCAGUCUUGGCCUGCUGCCACGCCGAAGGUGUCGAUGACAACAGUAAGCAUGGCCAUCCAAAACAGCGCCUAACCAGGAUGCGCCGGUCUGAGGAGGAUGACCCCAGCGCCAAAGGUCGCAAGAUAGCAUCUGAGAUGUCUGGUGGCAAGGCGGGAGGCAAAGGGAAAGGAAAGGGGAAAGGAAAAGGUAAAGGGAAGAAAGAAGAUAGCGAUGAACAGUAAUUAAACAACCAGUGGAAUCAUCCAGAUGAAGCGCCCAGAAGCCACCCAACCGCCCUCUGCCAUAUCAACAAGAAGCCAGAUACAAUGUCAAUAAAAUCGCAUGAGAAU
rnacentral:lncRNA from 1 species